rnacentral:rRNA from 1 species
AACGAACGCUGGCGGCAGGCCUAACACAUGCAAGUCGAGCGAGGACUUCGGUCCUAGCGGCGGACGGGUGAGUAACGCGUGGGAACGUGCCCUUUGCUUCGGAAUAGCCCUGGGAAACUGGGAGUAAUACCGGAUGAGCCCUUUGGGGGAAAGAUUUAUCGGCGAAGGAUCGGCCCGCGUUGGAUUAGGUAGUUGGUGGGGUAAUGGCCUACCAAGCCGACGAUCCAUAGCUGGUUUGAGAGGAUGAUCAGCCACACUGGGACUGAGACACGGCCCAGACUCCUACGGGAAGCAGCAGUGGGGAAUCUUAGACAAUGGGGGAAACCCUGAUCUAGCCAUGCCGCGUGAGCGAUGAAGGCCUUAGGGUUGUAAAGCUCUUUCAGCCGGGAAGAUAAUGACGGUACCAGCAGAAGAAGCCCCGGCUAACUCCGUG